CGGAUGGUACAGGUGCUCAGUUAAGGGAUGGACUUGAACUCUGUUGUUGAGCCGUAUCCCUGCAUCCACAUCUCAGCAAUUAACAGAGCUGUUGUGCAGGCUCCCUGAUCAUCUGACAGCUUUCAGAGACAAGAGGAGGACGAUCCACAGAGAUUACCGCCUGUGUUCCAGCGCAGGCCCCAGAACUUAUCCCGUGGUACACUACAAGUCACCACUCCAUUAUUUAUACCCUCUACAAACAUCAAAAAAGGUUUUCUCGGCCAAGUGUCAUGCGGUGUCGAUUGUAUUCGUGAGUGCAAUAACACAGGAAGCUUCAAAUGGAC
ensembl:lncRNA